rnacentral:pre_miRNA from 1 species
GCUCUGACUUCAUUGCACUACUGUACUUCCCAGCUAGCAGUGCAAUAGUAUUGUCAAAGCAC